rnacentral:rRNA from 1 species
AUUGAACGCUGGCGGCAUGCUUUACACAUGCAAGUCGAACGGCAGCGCGGGCUUCGGCCUGGCGGCGAGUGGCGAACGGGUGAGUAAUGCAUCGGAACGUGCCCAGUAGUGGGGGAUAGCCCGGCGAAAGCCGGAUUAAUACCGCAUACGACCUGAGGGUGAGAGCGGGGGACCGAAAGGCCUCGCGCUAUUGGAGCAGCCGAUGGCGGAUUAGCUAGUUGGUGGGGUAAAGGCUUACCAAGGCGACGAUCCGUAGCUGGUCUGAGAGGACGACCGGCCACACUGGGGUUGAGGGCCGGCCCAGGCCUCUGCGGGAGGCCGGAGUGGGGAAGUUGGGACAAUGGGGGAAACCCUGAUCCAGCCAGGCCGCGUGCGGGAAGAAGGCCUUCGGGUUGUAAACCGCUUUUGUUCGGGAAGAAAUCCUCUGGGGUAAUACCGCGGGGGGAUGCCGGUACCGGAAGAAUAAGCACCGGCUACCUCCGU